GUGCUGGCUAUGCAGCACAUAUACUAAAAUUGGAAUGAUACAGAGAAGAUUAGCAUGGGCCCCUGUGCAAGGAUUACAUGCAAAUUCGUGAGGUUUUCCAUAUUAAA
ensembl:snRNA U6 U6 spliceosomal RNA